UUUUAUUUUCCCCAAAUCACACAUGAAACCAAUUUUAACAUUAACUUUUAAAAAAUUUGAGAUCUAGAUUCUUUCCCUCUCUCCCAUCCUCCACCUUCCCUAAGAUGGUAACACAAUCUGAUAUAGAUUUUACAUGUGCAAUCAUAUAAAACAUUUUUCCAUAUUAGUUAUUCUGUUGAAGAGAUCUCAAGUGAAUAAGUGAAUAAGAAAGAAGGAAAAGUCAAACAUAGAAAUAUAAUUUCAGUCUGCAUUCAGACUCCAUCAAUUCUUUCUUGGAGGGUAGAAGACCUUUUUCAUCAUGAGUCUCUGAGAUUGUCUUGGAUCCUUGCAUUGCUGAGAAUAACUAGAUCAUUCUCACUUAUUCAUAAAAAAAUAGUGCUGUCACUAUGUACAAUAUUCUUCUGGUUCUCCUUACUUCAUUUUGCAUCAGUUCAUGUAACCCUUUUUUGGGUUUUCCUGCUUGUCAUUUCUUUUAGCAUAAUAGUAUUCCAUCACAAUCAUAUAUCACAACUUGUUCAGCCAUUCCCCAGUUGAUGGAUAACCUCUCAAUUUCCAAUUUUUUGCUACCAUAAAAAGAACUGUAAUAAAUAUUUUUGUACAGAAUAGGUCCUUUUCCUUUUUAUAUUUGUAUCUCUUGCUCAAAAUUCUUUUCUAUUAUAGGGUUAUUCUGUUCAUAUAUAUUCUACAAGGAGUCAUGGUCAAGAUUUCAGCAAGAAGCAAUAUUAUCAUCACUCCCUGACAAACCAUUCCAUAAUUGUAUCAUACCCAGUACUGGAAGACACAGAAAUAAGGAAGACCCUCUCCUCAGAGAGGUCUACUGGGGCAAGGAGGAGAUAAGAUAAGGAGAACAAACAACUAUUGCCAUCAGAAAUGAAGGAGAUAGUUGCAGAGAAAACUGGGAAGAUUUGUAUGAAUUGAUGCAAAAUGAAUCUUGUUUUAAUAGAUGGAGCCAUACCACUCAUCAAUUUUCAAACCAAGUACUGAAAACUUUCCCAAAUACCAAGAUAUAACAGAAGAAGUCAAAGUCAUGUGGGAACAAGAUGAACUGGACAUCAGCCCUUUCAAACUCUCUGCUAACUGUCCCAAGGACACUUUUGAGUCCAAUGCCAAAGCUGAGGGGUCCUGGUUCUGGUUUGUUGGACAAUUGGUAAACAUUGCUUAAUAAAUCAAUAUGCUCAGA